GAUGAACGCUGGCGGCGUGCCUAAUACAUGCAAGUCGAGCGAACAGACGAGGAGCUUGCUCCUCUGACGUUAGCGGCGGACGGGUGAGUAACACGUGGAUAACCUACCUAUAAGACUGGGAUAACUUCGGGAAACCGGAGCUAAUACCGGAUAACAUCUUGAACCGCAUGGUUCAAUAGUGAAAGACGGUCUUGCUGUCACUUAUAGAUGGAUCCGCGCCGCAUUAGCUAGUUGGUAAGGUAACGGCUUACCAAGGCAACGAUGCGUAGCCGACCUGAGAGGGUGAUCGGCCACACUGGAACUGAGACACGGUCCAGACUCCUACGGGAGGCAGCAGUAGGGAAUCUUCCGCAAUGGGCGAAAGCCUGACGGAGCAACGCCGCGUGAGUGAAGAAGGUCUUCGGAUCGUAAAACUCUGUUAUUAGGGAAGAACAAAUGUGUAAGUAACUAUGCACGUCUUGACGGUACCUAAUCAGAAAGCCACGGCUAACUACGUG
rnacentral:rRNA from 1 species